rnacentral:piRNA from 1 species
UGACAAGAUGGUGAGAUAGCUCUUUGGCC